GCGGAUGUAGUGUAAAGGUUAGCAUUUGAGUCUUCCAAACUCUAGGUAUGGGUUCGACUCCCAUUAUCCGCU
rnacentral:tRNA from 1 species